AAGAGCUCAGAGCUCCUUGUGGCAAAAAAAGACCACAAGGUUACAUGGGUAGGAUGAGAGAGGGCCACAGCCAUCACUUCUCCAUCCAUCCGUAAGAAGCCCUGCCUGAAUGACCAACAGGACUCAGACUCCAGUUUGUCACCAGCCUUGGAAAAUCCCCCAAAGAGGCAUUUCCUCCAGAGUCCUCCAUAAUUUUCUGGACUGUCCCACCACUCCAUAGCCCAGAUGACAAACCCAAGUAGAGGCAUGUUCUGGAAUCUGGUCUUCACAUUCCAAUAAACUGGACCACCAGGAUUUGCAUAUAAAAGAUCUAGGGAAGGGUUUGGGGCAGCAAGAACGUCUUUCCAACUCCCAAGCUCCAAGCUCAAAGUGAUGUACUGGGUACGGUGCACACCUCAGUCUCUAAGCUGACUGAAAAUCCUGUCGUGUAGACAUUAUCCACACUUACCGUGAGAAAAUGGAGCUCAAAAUGGGGAGAUGAAAAAGCCAGUAAAUGGGAUAAGAAAGGGGAGCCCCCACCAAGAAGCUGAGCUCUUGUGGAGAACUGUCUAGAAGCACCCCGCAACUGAGAGGAAGUGUCGAUUCCUCCGGAGCUUUGUCUGUGGUACAGUCACAGACCAAAGGAGCACCUAUCAAACUAGAACCCCACGCUGAACUUCCUAACAGUGGAUGUCCGAGUCCGAAGGGAUUUCCAGAGUGUUCUAUGUGGUGAUGAAGAUGGAACACAGAGUCACGUGUG